AUGGUAUGUUAUGUCGUGUUAUGUUAUGUCAUGGUAUGUUAUGUCAUGGUAUGUCAUGUCAUGUUAUGUCCAUGUCUCAAUCUCUGAAUGCUCGGCUAUGAAAAGCCAACUGACAUUUAACUUCUGAGGUGCAGACCUGUUGCUACCCUCUAUAACAAGCGUCUCCAGACUUUUAUAGCAUGAGCUCCUUUAAAAAAAAAUGAAACAUGUCACAAGCAAACUCUUUAAAUUUUUAUUUAUUUAUAGCUUUUAAAUAGGCACAUUCUUCUCCUCUACCCGGCAACUCUUCCCCGGGUUCCUCGCUGUAUAAAAGAUGUCAAUAUACCUGAUAGAAUAAUGGUUCAUAAACGGUAAUCAACACGACAGCCCCACAACAUUGUCCUUAGUAUUUUCCAGAUUUUUUUUCUUCUUCUCCUGGUUUUGACUCCGUUUUUAACUCUCAAUAGUACAACUGUUCAUAGAGAAACAGCAACUGAAUGUUCUGAGUCCACGUCUAUGCUUAAAUCACAUCAGAAGACCUUCAGACCUAAACAUAACGAUUUUAGAUUUUUUGAGUGUAAUUCCCUUUUAAUUGCGCAUCGAGCCAGAGAGAGAUGUGUCGCUGUAGUGAUGCUUCUGUCAGGACGACUGCAGCUCGCGUCAUGGUAGAGUUUGUAAAACAAUGGCCAUCCAAUUGAUGUAAAUAAUCAUGACCGUUGUGUCAGGUAAGCCUACUUUACAGUUAACAUUUAAUUGACCAGGUAAUUGAUGUAAAUAAUCAUGACCGUUGUGUCAGGUAAGCCUACUUCACAGUUAACAUUUAAUUGACCACGUAAUUGAUGUAAAUAAUCAUGACCGUUCUGUCAGGUAAGCCUACUUUACAGUUAACAUUUAAUUGACCAGGUAAUUGAUGUAAAUAAUCAUGACCGUUCUGUCAGGUAAGCCUACUUUACAGUUAACAUUUAAUUGACCAGGUAAAUGGGGAAAGUCUUUCUGUCUCUGCCGCUCUGACAUUUCUCAACCAUAUAUUUAUAUAUUCUUAAUUCCAGUCCUUUACUUAGAUGUGUGUGUAUUGGGUAUGUUGUGAAAUUGUAAGAUAUUACUGCACUGUUGGAACUAGAAGCACAAGCAUUUCACUACACCUGCAAUAACAUCUGCUAACCAUGCGUAUGUGACCAAAUUUGGGACUCCCCAAUCAUGGCCAGUUGUGAUACAGCCUAGAAUCGAACCAGGGUCUGUAGUGAACACCUCUUGCACUGAGAUUCUGUGCCUUAGAUCGCUGCGCCACUCAGGAGCCCAACUACAUGGUGAGCUACUCAUAGGUGGGCUGUGAGCUGCUGGUAGAUGUCCAUCCACCUAUUGGAGAGCCCUGAUCUAUAACCACUGUGAUUAUUAUCUCACCCUGCUGGUCAUCUAUGAUCGUCUGAACAUCUUGAAGAACCAUCUGGCCUUAAUGGCCGUAUACUCCUUAUAAUCACCAAUCUCUGAGGACUGGUCCACCCCUCUGAGCCUGGUUCCUCUCUACCCAGCACAACCAGAAAGAGGACUGGUCCACCCCUCAGAGCCUGGUUCCUCUCCACCCGGCACAACCAGAAAGAGGACUGGUCCACCCCUCAGAGCCUGGUUCCUCUCUACCCAGCACAACCAGAAAGAGGACUGGUCCACCCCUCAGAGCCUGGUUCCUCUCUAGGUUUCUUCCUAGGUUCCUACCCUUUCUAGGACGUUGUUCCUAGCCAGCGUGCUUCGACAGCUACAGAGUUU
ensembl:lncRNA